GACGAACGCUGGCGGCGUGCCUAACACAUGCAAGUCGAACGGAAGUAAGACUCCGGUUUUACUUUAGUGGCGAACGGGUGAGUAACGCGUGAGAAACCUGCCUUUCAGUGGGGGACAACAGUUGGAAACGACUGCUAAUACCGCAUAAUGUACGCGGACCGCAUGAUCUGUGUACCAAAGCUUUAUGUGCUGAAAGAUGGUCUCGCGUCUGAUUAGCUAGAUGGCGGGGUAAUGGCCCACCAUGGCGACGAUCAGUAGCCGGUCUGAGAGGAUGAACGGCCACAUUGGGACUGAGAUACGGCCCAGACUCCUACGGGAGGCAGCAGUGGGGAAUAUUGGGGCAAUGGGGGAAACCCUGACCCAGCAACGCCGCGUGAAGGAAGAAGGCCUUCGGGUUGUAAACUUACUUUACCUACGGACGGAAGAACGUGACGGUACCUGGAGAAAAAGCAACGGCUAACUACGUGCCAG
rnacentral:rRNA from 1 species